UUUUGUUGUUGUUGAAGAAAAUUUUAAAAAAAAUUUAAAAAAAAUGGAAGGAACAAAAAAAACUAGCAGUUCUUCAUUUACUUCUGAUCUUUUUGGUUCUAAAGAAACUUCAGCUUCUUCAUCUUCUGCAAUUUUUGGUUCCAUUUUCCCUCCUCCUUCCAAGGGACAUGGAUCGAUGAAUUCGGAGCAAUUGAAGCAUGAUCCUGUGAUUCAGGAAAGAAAUGCUAAAGGUGGAUACUCAGGAAGUACUCCUACUAGCAAUGAAGCUGCCAGCCAGCAGGCUGCACAAAACAAGCAGCCGAGUUCAUUUUAUCAGAAUGAAAAAGUACAGCCAUGCCAUCUUAGCUCAUCGAUAUACUACGGGGGCCAAGAUGUCUAUUCAUUUCCUCAAAACAAUAAUCAGAGCUCUACAUGCACAACUUUCAACAAAGAUAACGGUGAAGAUGAUUCUGGCAGUGCGUCUCGAGGAAACUGGUGGCAAGGGUCUCUUUACUACUAGAGCUCACCAUCAAUGACAUGGAUGUUACAUAUACUCAAAAGGAAGUUAAAUAUAUAUAGAGAAGCAGUUAUCUACCACAAAUAUUAAAGAUGGAUGAUUACUAGUAAUUAGCCAAGUAGACAAGUAGUUUGGUUGAACACUACAUAUAAUGAUAUUUAGUAUAUGUAAUUGGUAGUUAAUUAGUGUUUAUUUUACUCUUACAUGUAAAGGAUUAUAGACCUUGUGCACUCUGCUUUAUAAUGC
rnacentral:misc_RNA from 1 species